rnacentral:rRNA from 1 species
UACGUAGGGGGCAAGCGUUGUCCGGAAUCAUUGGGCGUAAAGAGCGUGUAGGCGGCCCGGUAAGUCCGCUGUGAAAGUCGGGGGCUCAACCCUCGAAAGCCGGUGGAUACUGUCGGGCUCGAGUGCGGAAGAGGCGAGUGGAAUUCCUGGUGUAGCGGUGAAAUGCGCAGAUAUCAGGAGGAACACCGAUUGCGAAGGCAGCUCGCUGGGACGUUACUGACGCUGAGACGCGAAAGCGUGGGGAGCAAACAGG